rnacentral:lncRNA from 1 species
GAUUUGGCAUAAACGGGGCAAUCUGCUGUGUUCCAGUCUUUCAACCUUAAAUGUUAUCCGCAUACCUUUGCACCUUAAAUGAAUGCACAGUUCGAGGUGAACGGUGCAUGUAGCUGAAUACAACCAAAAGCAGAUUGUAACGUCCUUCUUUAAAAUGCAAAAGUUCACAGGAAGGUUUAACCAUACGACGGGAAACAAUCGACUCCCUUCCCCAAAGACAGAGAGAGAGAGGGAACACCAAAACCUGAAGAUGCAAAUUAAACUCAACUAGACCCAUCUCCGUGUUUGGCGAGUUGAAUUUUCCUGUUGUUCCUACGAGAAAUCCAUUUCGAUAUCAGUGUAAUAAAGAGAGAGGAAGUAAAACGUUCAUUUUAAACAUUAGUAAGCGGUUUCUUGAUUAGUGGUGGAAUGAAUUUCAGGAGUGGAGCUAAUGCAGCUCGGAGUGAGGACGAAAUCAUCGUGCACGGUAGCAGCAAUAUUUUCCGGAGAAAUUAAACAGACCUGCAGCUCAGAUUUCCCUUCAUUCUAUUUAAGAGAAGCCCAGCGCUGCUUAUUGUGGAAGAAUCUACUGUUCCAUCUAUCAGGGAGUUAUCAUGCUGAGACAGAAUGUGAAAUGGACCUGAAUGAGGAUUACAGAAAAGCAAGAGCUGAGUUAAUUCAAUAUCUCCAUUUGUUAUGGACUAUAUCUGUAUCAUUCUUGUUUCCUGAUAAUAAUACUUUGCAUUUCCACAGUGUUGUUUAUCUGGAGAUUUCAAAGUGCAUUACAAACAUUCAGUAAAUAGGUAAGAAUUCUUAUAUUCAUUUUUACAGAAGGGGAAACCGCAGUAAAGGCAAGUGUAGGCAUCAACCUUUGAACAUGCUGGCUUUAAGUUGGGCCCUGCCUACAUUAGAAACUUUUACACUAGGAAAAUUACUGGUGCAACAUGCUAAUAAAGAUGCACAAUAGCAGUUUAAAACA